CCGGGGCUUAUUCUGCUAACACCCCAACCCACCUGUAGCUACAAACUAACCACGACAGAACUGUGGAGGCAAAAGGAAAAAAAAGGAAAACUCACCCACCUUAUCCUCUCCUCCACCUCUGUCUCUCCCCGUGCUCCACUCUUGCACGACCACCUCCACCCCCGCACGACCACCUCCCUGUGCUGCCGGACCACCUCCCUGCCGUGCCGCCACACCACCUCCCUUCCCGCGUCGCGCCCAACCCCCCGUCCACCUUCUUCCAACGCCACCGCCGGAGCACCACUCCCAGGACGCUGUCGCGCCUCCCUCCCCGCGCGACCAGGGCUCCCCUGAGCGGCCUUCCUCUCCAUGCUCGCCACCGCAAGCCGCCCCACCACCUUCCUUGCUCCAUCGCCUCCAUCUCUGCGCGCGGCGGUGGCAAGCCAGCACCAGCCAACCGCCUUCCUCUCCGCGUCUGGGCACCGUGAGCAGGCGCCGCCCCGCCAUCUUAUUCUUCGCGCCCGACCGCCACGAGGAGAGUUCGUGGUUCUUUCCUUGGAGGACGGGGCGGAGGAAGUGGAGCAGAGGCGGCCGAUGUGGAGGCCUUGGAUGCGGCCGGAGGAGCAGGGCUGCGGCUGCAGCGUGCCCUGCACCUCCACCACCGCCCACUCUGGGCAUGCCGCCUCGCCGCACCCACACCGGACCUAGAUCUACAUCGCCGCCUCACCUCGGAUCCGAUGCAGAGACAGAGAGGAGGGGGAGGGAUAUCCCGUCUUCGUGCAGCUCGGUCGCGGUCCCCUGUGCAGCUUGGUCGCGGACCCCGUGUAGCUCGGUUGCGGCCCCAGUCUUCAUGCAGAUUUCACUUGGGCACAUCGCUGCAUUUAUGUUGGGGCGACAGUGCGGUGCGGCUGGAUGUCCAAUCCACCGGCGAUUGUGCUUGCAGUCUAGUGGCACGAGGCUCGUGGUCGGAUCUGCAAUGCAGUGCUAUUCUCCCUUCUGCACUGCAGUUCGCCAGCAGAUGUGUUGACCCAUCCAAGAUCAACUGCACCCCCUCCACCACCAUCGUUUGGAGCCAACAGGUCCUGGGAUCCGACGAGCCGCCCUCGCAUUUGUCGCCCUCCCUGUGGACACCCUUUCCGCCGACGAGUUGCACCUCUGUGGCGGCCGGCGGCCCCGUCUCCGCUGGUCGCUGGAGCAGACCAUAUGCACCCCCACCCGACCCACGGUGCACGCUGACUUCCGCUUCAGUUUCGCUUUGUCUAUAUGACCAACUCCGGCGUUUUGUUGUGUACCGAACGCACUUAGCGCUGCCUGAAUCAUGUUGUUUUGGACUGAUCCACUAACAAAGCCGUGGUUGGAGUAGUGUUGGGUCUCAAUAAUGGCGGUGCCACUGCUUGCUUGCUCGCUCCACAGGAGGCAGAACCACCAACAAAAAAACGAGAGUCGAGAAUGCCCAGAUGCGGGCUGCUGCCGGCGUGCGUGCAGUCCAUCAUUUGAUUUUUUUGUUUGUUUGUGUUUUGAGGUGGUCGCGAUUCAUGGGGCACGGGCGUGCAGUGCGAAGCCCAUGUGCAUGCAGUCCGUGGAGAUGGGGUGCCGAACGACGAAUCGUGCAGUCCGCGGAGAUGUGCGUGCUGUCGUCGACGAUUUUUGUUUGGUGUCUAUUUUGCUCACAGUUGACAUUUUUGCGUAUUUCAGAUUUUGGUUGCUGUCCCAUGGGCGCACAUGUGCAGUGCUUGUGGGUUAGACAUACAAUGCGCCGGCGUCACUUGCUUGCAUUUUAGGGACCAAAUUGUGGAUUUAUUUAAGUCCCACAUCAAUGUAAUUUGUAUGUGUUUGUACUAUAUGGAUUAUAAAGAGCAGCAUUGCAAGCAGCAUUGCAGCCCUGUCUUGUAGCCCAUAGAUGCACCAGUCAUAGCUCUCCCAGAAACGUGCAUUGAAGAAAACAAACAGUACUUAUUUUGAAAUGGA